rnacentral:rRNA from 1 species
GGUGAAAUUCCAAUCGAACUCGGAUAUAGCUGGUUCUCCUCGAAAUAGCUUUAGGGCUAGCCUCAAGGUAAAGAUACACGGGGGUAGAGCACUGACUGUUCGCGGGGCCUUCACCGGUUACCAACAACUAUCAAACUCCGAAUACCGUGCUAUCAUACUUGGGAGUCAGACUAUGAGAGAUAAGUUCCAUGGUCGAAAGGGAAACAGCCCAGAUCAACAGCUAAGGUCCCAAAGAGUAAGUUAAGUGGAAAAGGAUGUGGGAUUGCACAAACAGCUAGGAUGUUGGCUUAGAAGCAGCCAUACAUUUAAAGAGUGCGUAAUAGCUCACUAGUCGAGUGAUCCUGCGCCGAAGAUAAACGGGGCUCAAACUUACCACCGAAGCUUUGGAAUUAGUAUAACUAAUUGGUAGAGGAGCAUUCUAUACAGGUAGAAGGAGGCGCGUAAGCAAAUCUGGACGGUAUAGAAGAGAGAAUGUUGGCAUGAGUAGCGUAAGGCGGGUGAGAAUCCCGUCCGCCGAAAAUCUAAGGUUUCCUGAGGAAGGUUCGUCCUCUCAGGGUAAGUCGGGACCUAAGCCGAGAGCGAACGCUGUAGGCGAUGGACAACAGGUUGAUAUUCCUGUACCACCAAGGAUUGUUUGAAUGAAGUGGGGACACAGAAGGAUAGAUUGAGCACGCCGUUGGUUGAGCGUGUCCAAGCAGCAAGGCUUGAAAGUAGGCAAAUCCGCUUUCUACAAGGCUGAGCUGUGAUGGGGUGGUCGAAUGACCGGUAGCAAUCGAUUUCACGCUGUCAAGAAAAGCCGCUAAUGAGAUCCAAGGUGCCCGUACCGCAAACCGACACAGGUAGAUGAGGAGAGAAUCCUAAGGUGAGCGAGCGAACUAUUGUUAAGGAACUCGGCAAAAUAACCCCGUAACUUCGGGAGAAGGGGUGCCUGCUUCGGCAGGCCGCAGUGAAGAGGUCCAGGCAACUGUUUACCAAAAACACAGGUCUCUGCUAAAGCGAAAGCUGAUGUAUAGGGGCUGACGCCUGCCCGGUGCUGGAAGGUUAAGGGGAAGUGUUAGGGCAACCGAAGCACAGAACUUAAGCCCCAGUAAACGGCGGCCGUAACUAUAACGGUCCUAAGGUAGCGAAAUUCCUUGUCGGGU